AGAGUUUGAUCAUGGCUCAGGACGAACGCUGGCGGCGUGCCUAAUACAUGCAAGUCGAGCGGACAGAUGGGAGCUUGCUCCCUGAAGUCAGCGGCGGACGGGUGAGUAACACGUGGGCAACCUGCCUGUAAGACUGGGAUAACUUCGGGAAACCGGAGCUAAUACCGGAUAACACCGAGGACCUCAUGGUCCUUGGUUGAAAGAUGGCUUCGGCUAUCACUUACAGAUGGGCCCGCGGCGCAUUAGCUAGUUGGUGAGGUAACGGCUCACCAAGGCGACGAUGCGUAGCCGACCUGAGAGGGUGAUCGGCCACACUGGGACUGAGACGCGGCCCAGACUCCUACGGGAGGCAGCAGUAGGGAAUCUUCCGCAAUGGACGAAAGUCUGACGGAGCAACGCCGCGUGAGCGAUGAAGGCCUUCGGGUCGUAAAGCUCUGUUGUUAGGGAAGAACAAGUACCGUUCGAAUAGGGCGGUACCUUGACGGUACCUAACCAGAAAGCCACGGCUAACUACGUGCCAGCAGCCGCGGUAAUACGUAGGUGGCAAGCGUUGUCCGGAAUUAUUGGGCGUAAAGCGCGCGCAGGCGGUUCCUUAAGUCUGAUGUGAAAGCCCACGGCUCAACCGUGGAGGGUCAUUGGAAACUGGGGAACUUGAGUGCAGAAGAGGAAAGCGGAAUUCCACGUGUAGCGGUGAAAUGCGUAGAGAUGUGGAGGAACACCAGUGGCGAAAGGCGGCUUUCUGGUCUGUAACUGACGCUGAGGCGCGAAAGCGUGGGGAGCAAACAGGAUUAGAUACCCUGGUAGUCCACGCCGUAAACGAUGAGUGCUAAGUGUUAGGGGGUUUCCGCCCCUUAGUGCUGCAGCUAACGCAUUAAGCACUCCGCCUGGGGAGUACGGCCGCAAGGCUGAAACUCAAAGGAAUUGACGGGGGCCCGCACAAGCGGUGGAGCAUGUGGUUUAAUUCGAAGCAACGCGAAGAACCUUACCAGGUCUUGACAUCCUCUGACAACUCUAGAGAUAGAGCGUUCCCCUUCGGGGGACAGAGUGACAGGUGGUGCAUGGUUGUCGUCAGCUCGUGUCGUGAGAUGUUGGGUUAAGUCCCGCAACGAGCGCAACCCUUGAUCUUAGUUGCCAGCAUUCAGUUGGGCACUCUAAGGUGACUGCCGGUGACAAACCGGAGGAAGGUGGGGAUGACGUCAAAUCAUCAUGCCCCUUAUGACCUGGGCUACACACGUGCUACAAUGGACGGUACAAAGAGUCGCGAGACCGCGAGGUGGAGCUAAUCUCAUAAAACCGUUCUCAGUUCGGAUUGUAGGCUGCAACUCGCCUACAUGAAGCCGGAAUCGCUAGUAAUCGCGGAUCAGCAUGCCGCGGUGAAUACGUUCCCGGGCCUUGUACACACCGCCCGUCACACCACGAGAGUUUGCAACACCCGAAGUCGGUGAGGUAACCGUAAGGAGCCAGCCGCCUAAGGUGGGGUAGAUGAUUGGGGUGAAGUCGUAACAAGGUAACCGUAG
rnacentral:rRNA from 2 species